rnacentral:rRNA from 1 species
AUUAAGAGCUUGCUCUUAUGAAGUUAGCGGCGGACGGGUGAGUAACACGUGGGUAACCUGCCCAUAAGACUGGGAUAACUCCGGGAAACCGGGGCUAAUACCGGAUAAUAUUUUGAACUGCAUGGUUCGAAAUUGAAAGGCGGCUUCGGCUGUCACUUAUGGAUGGACCCGCGUCGCAUUAGCUAGUUGGUGAGGUAACGGCUCACCAAGGCAACGAUGCGUAGCCGACCUGAGAGGGUGAUCGGCCACACUGGGACUGAGACACGGCCCAGACUCCUACGGGAGGCAGCAGUAGGGAAUCUUCCGCAAUGGACGAAAGUCUGACGGAGCAACGCCGCGUGAGUGAUGAAGGCUUUCGGGUCGUAAAACUCUGUUGUUAGGGAAGAACAAGUGCUAGUUGAAUAAGCUGGCACCUUGACGGUACCUAACCAGAAAGCCACGGCUAACUACGUGCCAGCAGCCGCGGUAAUACGUAGGUGGCAAGCGUUAUCCGGAAUUAUUGGGCGUAAAGCGCGCGCAGGUGGUUUCUUAAGUCUGAUGUGAAAGCCCACGGCUCAACCGUGGAGGGUCAUUGGAAACUGGGAGACUUGAGUGCAGAAGAGGAAAGUGGAAUUCCAUGUGUAGCGGUGAAAUGCGUAGAGAUAUGGAGGAACACCAGUGGCGAAGGCGACUUUCUGGUCUGUAACUGACACUGAGGCG